rnacentral:rRNA from 1 species
CAGUAGCCGCGGUAAUACGUAGGUGGCAAGCGUUGUCCGGAAUUAUUGGGCGUAAAGGGCUCGCAGGCGGUUUCUUAAGUCUGAUGUGAAAGCCCCCGGCUCAACCGGGGAGGGUCAUUGGAAACUGGGAAACUUGAGUGCAGAAGAGGAGAGUGGAAUUCCACGUGUAGCGGUGAAAUGCGUAGAGAUGUGGAGGAACACCAGUGGCGAAGGCGACUCUCUGGUCUGUAACUGACGCUGGGGAGCGAAAGCGUGGGGAGCGAACAGGAUUAGAUACCCCGGUAGUCCCUGUCUCUUAUAC